GAGAGCCGGAUGCGUAGAGAUGCGCAUGUCCGGUUCGGGAAGCGGCUCGCGGAAUCCCACCGGUGGAGACACCGGCAGGGCGCCGCGAGUCGACUUUCAC
rnacentral:ncRNA from 1 species